ensembl:lncRNA
GUGCAGCUCACCUGGAACACAGGACAACCUGUGACCCUGCAGCUCACCUGGGCUGACGGGUCCUCAGCAUACAGGACCACCUGGGACGGCUGCCUGGCCGCCUCCCCGGGGCAGGUAUGUGGGGCCUGACUGCUGCACCAAGUGUGGGGCUCCCCUUCGCUCCAGGCUUCUCGGCUGGCCCCUCAGGUCAUGUACCUUCUUCUAUUCCCUAUCAGCUCCAGGAAGCUUGGGGCCUGGACACCCUCCAGGCCUGCGGGGCCUUAAUGCAGACCCCAGCUGUGUUCGUUGAACAGCUCGACCUGUCCUGGGGCCAACACCGCAUAUGGCAGAACUUGACAUACGAGAGGCACCGGCCAUCUCAGCCAGGCAGGAUCAUCGCGGAGGCCACCCUGGAGCAUGUCCUCGGAACCUUUUGUACCCGGCAGAGCUUCCGGGGAGAAGUACAGACUGACUAUGCACGCUGGCUGCGGCACUCCCUCCACCUGGGGCUCUGUGACCUGCCCAGGCUUCAUGGCUCCAAGGCUCAGCGGGUUGGCCUACUGGGCCGUGUCUCCACCUCGGCUUCUCAAAGCCUGGUCCGACUGGAGGGAAAUGUGGACAACAGAGACGAGAAAGUGAGACUGUCUGUGUUCCGGGCCCCAAGCUGUCUCCAGGCCUCUGUGGCACAUGAGGAGGGGGGCAGAGAGGAGAGUGUGGUGCUGCGGGCAUGUGCCCACGGGCGGACAGCUGAGGUGGAGGUCCUGUUCCGGGAUGGCAGGCAGCCCUUCCAGCCGCUGGGACACCUGACCCUGCAGGCUGCCAACCACAGCCUCCUGCUGGCUGCGCACGGCUGUCGGGGGGUCCUGCUGGGCCAUGUGGAGUCCAGGAUCAUAGCAGUUGGCUCCCAGGUGCAAGCCCAACUGGAAGACAAGAUUCAAGGCUUGGGUGCCUCUGUGAGAAGGUUCCAGCAAUUGGUGCAGCUGGCAGGCACCCUGGACGGCGUGGCAGGCCUCCUUCUGCAGCUGUCCCAGGUGGGGCGGGAGGCCGUGCAGGCGAGUGGUUGGGCGGUAGCCACGUUGUGGGCCCGGAGCCAGGCCCUGACCCAGUACCUGCUUCUUUACCUGGAGUGGCUGCAGGUGGGGCUGGAGCAGCUGCGGGAUGAGCUGGAAUGGCCCCUGGCCACACUGAAGGACGCCUACCUGGAGGUGACACUGCGGCCCCUGGAGGAGGUGUGGCGGGAGCGGGCAGAGGAGGCCAUGCGGCGGCUGCAGGCCUGGGUGCCCGGGAUGCCAAGCAAUGGGGGUCCCAGGCCCAUCAGGGUGGCCCUGGGGGCGGUGAAAGGAACCCUGGAGCUGGCCGCCCACCAGCUGCUGUCCUGGGCUGAGGCCACGUUCUCACGGGCACUGAAGAGGCUCUGCAAACCCCUACUGGACCUGUACAGCCUCUCGGCCAGAAACCGCUCAGUGGUGGUGACACUGCCACUGCUGCCUGUGGGGGAUGAGCCCCUCGAUGUGGCCCAGGUGACCAGCUACCUGGUGGAGAAGCUGCUGCGGCCGCUCCGAGAGCUGUCUGGGGCCAACAUGCUGGCCGAGUACUACCGGCUCAGACGCCGCCUGCUGGAGGGCCCCUGGGACUACCAUGCCCUGGUAGCUGGGGCCCAGCACGUGGUUACCUUCGACGGCCGGGUAUGGGACCUCAGCGCCCAGUGUGGCAGCAUCCUCCUGGCCCAGGACUUUGCUCACAACACAUUCUCACUGACACGGAGUCGGACAGGCUCGGGGCUCACGGCCCUGUCCGUGGAGCUAAACCACAUGACCCUCGUCUUCUACCCCAGUCUGCAGGCCUACAGACUGUACAACUCCUCCGUGCCGGGGGAGAGCUGUCCGGACCUCGAGCUGCAUCCUACCACGACAAGGAGGAACGUCCCCAGGAUUGAGCUGGCCAGUGAGGACGGGGUCUCUGUCUCCUGUGACGUGCCCACCGGCGUCUGCAGCCUGACUCUGGGCCUCUGGCACCAUGGUAUAUCUGCUGGUCUUCUAGGCACCAAUGACAAUGAAGCAGGCAAUGAGAUGAUGUUGCCAGACGGCUCUGUGGCCCGCAGCCUGGAGCAGCUCAGCCUGGCCUGGCAGGUGGGUGGUGACUGCAGGGCCACUGAGAAGACUCAGCAGGCCUGCCGAGAACAGAGCCCCACCUGCCGGGCCUUCUUCGAGGACCCCCACUCCAGCUUGAGGAGCUGCUUCUGGGUGGUGAGUAUAAGCCUGGCCCAUGCAGUGCAGAAGACCCUUUCCCUGAUCUAG